ACCCGCUGAACUUAAGCAUAUCAAUAAGCGGAGGAAAAGAAACCAACAGGGAUUACCUCAGUAACGGCGAGUGAAGCGGUAACAGCUCAAAUUUGAAAUCUGGCCCUUUCAGGGUCCGAGUUGUAAUUUGUAGAGGAUGUUUCGGGUGUGGUACCGGUCUAAGUUCCUUGGAACAGGACGUCAUAGAGGGUGAGAAUCCCGUAUGUGACUGGCUGCCUACACCCAUGUGAAACUCCUUCGACGAGUCGAGUUGAUUGGGAAUGCAGCUCAAAAUGGGUGGUAAAUUUCAUCUAAAGCUAAAUAUUGGCCAGAGACCGAUAGCGCACAAGUAGAGUGAUCGAAAGAUGAAAAGCACUUUGGAAAGAGAGUUAAACAGUACGUGAAAUUGUUGAAAGGGAAGCGCUUGCAACCAGACUUGCACUUGGUUAAUCAUCCUCUGUUCUCAGGGGUGCACUUGAUCUUGUUCAGGCCAGCAUCGGUUUUGGUGGUUGGAUAAAGGCCUUAGGAAUGUAGCUUCCCUCGGGGAGUGUUAUAGCCUAGGGUGCAAUGCAGCCUACCGGGACCGAUGACCGCGCUUCGGCUAGGAUGCUGGCGUAAUGGUUGUAAGCGACCCGUCUUGAAACACGG
rnacentral:rRNA from 1 species